UGGCUAUGCGACACCCCAAAGCUACUGUUUUGUCUGGUGCACUUUCAGCUUUGUUUGUUAUGACUGACGUUGAUGAAAGUGUUUUCUGAAAGACCAGUGAUGUAUAUGGCGGAGAUGUGUUGAGCGAGACUAAACCAUUACAGAUCCAGGCUUCAGCCAAGAAAGACAUUGCCUCCGCC